CAGUCGCCGCGGGAAUACAGAGGGUGCGAGCGUUAAUCGGAUUUACUGGGCGUAAAGCGUGCGUAGGCGGCUUUUUAAGUCGGAUGUGAAAUCCCUGAGCUUAACUUAGGAAUUGCAUUCGAUACUGGGAAGCUAGAGUAUGGGAGAGGAUGGUAGAAUUCCAGGUGUAGCAGUGAAAUGCGUAGAGAUCGGAAGGAACAUCUGUGGCGAAGGCGACUAUCUGGGCCAACACUGACACUGAGGCACGAAAGCGUGGGGAGCAAACAGGAUUAGAUACCCCGGUAGUCCCUGUCUCUUAUAC
rnacentral:rRNA from 1 species